AGAGUUUGAUCCUGGCUCAGAGCGAACGCUGGCGGCAGGCCUAACACAUGCAAGUCGAGCGGGCACCUUCGGGUGUCAGCGGCAGACGGGUGAGUAACACGUGGGAACGUGCCCUUUGGUUCGGGACAACUCCGGGAAACUGGAGCUAAUACCGGAUAAGCCCUUCGGGGGAAAGAUUUAUCGCCAGAGGAUCGGCCCGCGUCUGAUUAGCUAGUUGGUGAGGUAAAGGCUCACCAAGGCGACGAUCGGUAGCUGGUCUGAGAGGAUGAUCAGCCACACUGGGACUGAGACACGGCCCAGACUCCUACGGGAGGCAGCAGUGGGGAAUAUUGGACAAUGGGCGCAAGCCUGAUCCAGCCAUGCCGCGUGAGUGAUGAAGGCCCUAGGGUUGUAAAGCUCUUUUGUCCGGGAAGAUAAUGACUGUACCGGAAGAAUAAGCCCCGGCUAACUUCGUGCCAGCAGCCGCGGUAAUACGAAAGGGGCUAGCGUUGCUCGGAAUCACUGGGCGUAAAGGGCGCGUAGGCGGAUCUUUAAGUCAGAGGUGAAAGCCCAAGGCUCAACCUUGGAAUUGCCUUUGAUACUGAAGAUCUUGAGACCGGUAGAGGUAAGUGGAACUGCGAGUGUAGAGGUGAAAUUCGUAGAUAUUCGCAAGAACACCAGUGGCGAAGGCGGCUUACUGGACCGGUUCUGACGCUGAGGCGCGAAAGCGUGGGGAGCAAACAGGAUUAGAUACCCCGGUAGUCC
rnacentral:rRNA from 2 species